AAAGUCGUAACAAGGUCUCCGUAGGUGAACCUGCGGAGGGAUCAUUACCGAGCGAGGGCCCCCGGCCCGACCUCCAACCCUUCGUUGACCAACACCUGUUGCCUCGGGGGCGACCCGGCCUCCGCGCCGGGCCCCCGGCGGACCACUUCAACUCUGUGUCUGUACGUCGGAGUGAUUAGUGAAUCAAUCAAAACUUUCAACAACGGAUCUCUUGGUUCUG
rnacentral:misc_RNA from 1 species